rnacentral:rRNA from 1 species
UGAACGCUGGCGGCGUGCCAAUACAUGUCAAGUCGAGCGGACUUUUGGGAGCUUGCUCCCAAAAGUUAGCGGCGGACGGGUGAGUAACACGUGGGCAACCUGCCUAUAAGACUGGGAUAACUUCGGGAAACCGGAGCUAAUACCGGAUAAUUCCUUUCCUCUCAUGAGGAAAGGUUGAAAGACGGUUUCGGCUGUCACUUAUAGAUGGGCCCGCGGCGCAUUAGCUAGUUGGUGAGGUAACGGCUCACCAAGGCUUCGACGGGUAGCCGGCCUGAGAGGGCGACCGGCCACACUGGGACUGAGAUACGGCCCAGACUCCUACGGGAGGCAGCAGUGGGGAAUAUUGCACAAUGGGCGCAAGCCUGAUGCAGCAACGCCGCGUGCGGGAUGACGGCCUUCGGGUUGUAAACCGAUUUCAGUUCCGACGAAGCGCAAGUGACGGUAGGAACAGAAGAAGGACCGGCCAAAUAACAUGCCAAGCAGCCGCGGGAGAUACGUAGGGUCCGAGCGUCGCCGGAAUCAAUGGGCGUAAAGGGCUUGUAGGCGG